UACGUAGGGGGCAAGCGUUGUCCGGAAUCAUUGGGCGUAAGGAGCGUGUAGGCGGCCCGAUAAGUCCGCUGUGAAAGUCCAGGGCUCAACCCUGGGAUGCCGGUGGAUACUGUCGGGCUAGAGUCCGGAAGAGGCGAGUGGAAUUCCUGGUGUAGCGGUGAAAUGCGCAGAUAUCAGGAGGAACACCAAUGGCGAAGGCAGCUCGCUGGGACGGUACUGACGCUGAGGUGCGAAAGCGUGGGGAGCAAACAGG
rnacentral:rRNA from 1 species